CCUGCCGGAUGGGCAGUCGCUCCCGCAAGGGGGAGGAAAGUCCGGUCUCCACAGGGCGGCGUGCCGGCUAACGGCCGGGGAAGUCCGAUCAAAGCGGGCUUUACGGAAAGUGCGACAGAGAAGAUACCGCCGUGUCGGUCGAUAAGGCCGGUGCGGUAAGGGUGAAAAGGUGCGGUAAGAGCGCACCGCGGGCGGAGUAAUCCGUCCGGCAGAGCAAACCCCACGCGGAGCAAGACCAAAUAGGGGAGGAGGAGCGGCCCGCUCCGUUACAACUUCCGGGUAGGUCGCUAGAGCCGGGCAGCAAUGUCCGGUCGAGACGAAUGACUGCCACCCCGCAAGGGGCACAGAAACCGGCUUACAAUCCGGCAGGCCUU
rnacentral:RNase_P_RNA from 1 species